CUUCAGAGAUGAGGGUGGUCACUGAUCCCGGACAAGCCCCCAAAUGAAAGACCCCUGGAGCGGGGAGACCCACAUUCAAGUCUCGGGAUGACCCCCAAGAACUCACGUGAGACC
rnacentral:pre_miRNA from 14 species